rnacentral:rRNA from 1 species
AGUGAACGCUGGCGGUAGGCCUAACACAUGCAAGUCGAACGGCAGCACAGUAAGAGCUUGCUCUUACGGGUGGCGAGUGGCGGACGGGUGAGGAAUACAUCGGAAUCUACUUUUUCGUGGGGGAUAACGUAGGGAAACUUACGCUAAUACCGCAUACGACCUACGGGUGAAAGCAGGGGAUCCUCGGACCUUGCGCGAUUGAAUGAGCCGAUGUCGGAUUAGCUAGUUGGCGGGGUAAAGGCCCACCAAGGCGACGAUCCGUAGCUGGUCUGAGAGGAUGAUCAGCCACACUGGAACUGAGACACGGUCCAGACUCCUACGGGAGGCAGCAGUGGGGAAUAUUGGACAAUGGGCACAAGCCUGAUCCAGCCAUACCGCGUGGGUGAAGAAGGCCUUCGGGUUGUAAAGCCCUUUUGUUGGGAAAGAAAAGCAGCAGGUUAAUACCCCGCUGUUCUGACGGUACCCAAAGAAUAAGCACCGGCUAACUUCGUG